AUUAAAUAUGUUCAAUAUGUAAUAAUACAGAGGGCAUAAAGAUAUGGCAAACGUUGUGAAGAAAUUCGGAAAACACUGGCUUUUGGAAUACCUGAUCUGGAGGCCAGAAGUCCAAGAGCAAGGUGUCAGCAGAAUGGUGUCUGAGACUUUCCAUGUUUUAUUUCACUGGAUCUUCACAACAUCCCUCUGAGGCAGAUGCUAUUAUCAUUUCCCUUCUACAAAUGAGGAAACAGAGGCUUGCCCAAGACCAGGCAGCUCCUAAGUCCCAGAGGAGGGAUUUGAGCUGAGGGCCGUCUGCUGGAUGCAAGAGCCUGAGGCGAUGCCCAUUGUACCACACUGCCCCAUCUGUGGGUCUUGUCCAGUUUUGCUGCUCUGUGGUGCUGGGAGAAUAUCAGGACCUUCUGAGGAGCAACCAAAGACAGCAUUUGAGUGUUUAUCUACUUUCCACAAACAUCUAGCAUCAGUGGCUUCUUUUUCACAGGAGAGAAAAGUUUCUGGACAAGAACAAGGCCUCUUGAUAAACAACGGGGGUGCACAGAGUGGACUGCCAUGUAGAAAGUGCUAGAACAGGGAAUGCACUUCCCUUGCACCUCUCAUGCUGAUGGACAAUUAGUAGUGGCUUCCCAGAGUGCUGUGUGUGAAGGAGUUCUGAAACCACAUCUCAGGGAGAAGGAAUGAUGUGAUCCAUUAUUGAUGUCUGCCAUGGUCUGGGAGGGGACAGUCAUGGGGGCCAUUAUUUGCCAUUCCUGUACCAGAAUCUAGAUCUUGUGUGAAAUAUUGAAAUAAGAGUACAAAUGGAGGCCCACAUACCAUAUGUCUAAAUA